GUAAAAUUACAUUUUUUUACUUCCCAGUCGUGGCUGUUUUUUGUAUUUGGUUUUGUCAAAAAAUUGUUUGCCAUAGUAUUACUAGAUCAUCCUUUUUUUAUGGAACAAAACUAAAAGCUCUUCAGUUGUGACAAUUAUCUCUAGAAGCCUUUCAAUAGAAAGGAGAUUUAGAUAUGGCUACUUUUUUUUUCUUUCAAUGUCUUCUAGGAGCCAGACACUGGACUAUGUAUUUAGGCAUUUAUCAUUUAAUUUAACUCAUCCGAUGGUACAAAAGAUAAAAUAAGAAUGAAGAAUAAAAGAUAAGUUCUGAAGACACUGAGAGUGCUCUUUGGGCUUCAUGAACUCUUGAGAUUGAGGUUGUAGUUCCCAAAAUUCAGUGUGCAUUAAGAUCCUUGGGGUGCCUGCUCAAAACAGGAAUUUUUUAGCCUCACCCUAAGUGAUUUGGUUUAAGUAAACCUGGGAUGGAGUUCAGAGAUCUGCAUUUUGAACAAACAACAGUUAACCUUGAUACAGGGGACCCACACUCGUUAGAGAGAAUGUUUUGUUUUAAAAGUAAAGAAAAUGAAAAUAACAUGUUCUUUUAAUGCUUAAAUUAACUUAUUGCUGGAAUUAUUAAAAUGCUACAUCUCCAAGAAAAAUUAAAUUCAGUUCUUAGUGUUUUUCUUAUUCCACAUUUAAAAUAACAAAAGCAAACUACAGAAGAACGAUUCUUGAAUAAACCCCAUGCACUCAUCCACAACCAACCUAUGGCAGCUUCUGUGCCAUCCAUUCCCCUCUCAGUCCAUGUUAUUGAAUGAAAUCCCAGACAUCAUGUCAUUUAAUUUGUGAAUACUUUAAUAUGUAUCUGUAAAAGAUAAGGAUUCUUAUUAGAAAUACAUAAGCCCAAUACUGUUGCCACUCUUAAAAAUCUAACAGUAGUUUCUUAAUAUCAUAAAUUAUACUAAUAAUAUUAAAAUUCCCAAUUGUCUUAUGAAUGUCAUGGAUACAUUUUUCUUUAUUUCCCCCUCAAAAUCAGGAUCCCAGCAAGAUCCUCACUGCUAAUUGGUUGACACAUUUUUAAAGUCUUUUAAUCUAUAGGUUCCCCUCUGCGUCCCUUUUUUCUUGCUAGUUUUUGUUUGUCCUCUAGAGUUUUCCAAAUCUGAUUAUUCUUGCUGAAUUUCUGUGACGUAG
rnacentral:lncRNA from 1 species